rnacentral:rRNA from 1 species
AACCAGCACCUCAAGUGGUCAGGAUGAUUAUUGGGCCUAAAGCAUCCGUAGCCGGCUCUAUAAGUUUUCGGUUAAAUCUGUACGCUCAACGUACAGGCUGCCGGGAAUACUGCAGAGCUAGGGAGUGGGAGAGGUAGACGGUACUCGGUAGGAAGGGGUAAAAUCCUUUGAUCUAUUGAUGACCACCUGUGGCGAAGGCGGUCUACCAGAACACGUCCGACGGUGAGGGAUGAAAGCUGGGGGAGCAAACCGGAUUAGAUACCCGGGUAGUCCCAGCUGUAAACUAUGCAAACUCAGUGAUGCAUUGGCUUGUGGCCAAUGCAGUGCUGCAGGGAAGCCGUUAAGUUUGCCGCCUGGGAAGUACGUACGCAAGUAUGAAACUUAAAGGAAUUGGCGGGGGAGCACCACAAGGGGUGAAGCCUGCGGUUC